UAUGUGAUCGUCUCUCGCAUAUCAAUAAGCGGAGGAAAAGAAACUAACAAGGAUUCCCCUAGUAACGGCGAGUGAAGCGGGAAGAGCUCAAAUUUGAAAUCUUAAAGGGUUUCCCUUUACGAAUUGUAGUUUAAAGAAGUGUUUUCUGUUGAGGUUUUGGUAAAAGUUCUUUGGAAUAGGACAUCAUAGAGGGUGAGAAUCCCGUAUUUGACCUUUACUUUCAACUUUGUGAUACACUUUCAAAGAGUCGGAUUGUUUGGGAAUGCAGUCCAAAAUGGGUGGUAAAUUUCAUCUAAAGCUAAAUAUUGGCGAGAGACCGAUAGCGAACAAGUACCGUGAGGGAAAGAUGAAAAGAACUUUGAAAAGAGAGUUAAACAGUACGUGAAAUUGUCAAAAGGGAAGCGUUUGACACCAGUGUUGUUUUUCUGAAAUUCAAUUAAAGAACUGUUUAUGCUAAGCUGUUUAGACUUUAUCAGCUAUCUGUUUAGUUUUGAGCUUUUCUUUAAUGCACUUUUCAGUUAACAAGUCAACAUCAAUUUCUUUUGCUGUAAAAAAGCUUGAGGAAGGUGGCUUGAGAUUCGUCUUAAGUGUUUAUAGCCUCUUGCCUAUGCAGUCGGAGAGAUUGAGGUCUGCAGCGUAGAUCCUUCGGGGCUAAAUGCAUUUGUGCUAAGUUAUAGCAUUUUAUAGACAACUUGUUGACUAUGAUUUGUCUUGUAGCUUACUCGCUUAUGUUAUUUUACCUACGCUUAGGAUGUUGACUGAUAUGUAGUCGUA
rnacentral:rRNA from 1 species